UUACGAUCGUGCCUAGGGCACGAUCGUGGGAGGAGAAACACCACAAAAAAAAAAGGGGGAGGGGGAGAGCGGCGGCGGCGGCGGCAGCGUCCGGGGAGAGGUUGGUCGCCGGAGGAGACCGAAUGCCGGAGAGGAGGCCAAGCGCCGAGAUCCGGUCGGCCGCGGAGGAAGUUCCUUCGGUGUAGAUCCUCCACAAAUCGGGAGAAGAAGCCUUGGACCCGUGCGUGAAAAUCCAAGCUUCCUCUCCGAUUUCGUCGCCGGAAAGGCCGCCG
rnacentral:lncRNA from 1 species